CGAAUCUUAUAUAUAAAAUUCUCGUGUCACAAAGUUAGUCUCCAAACUCCUCCGAAACGGCUCGACCGAUUCCUCUGAAAUUUGGUAAGCAUAUUGAGUAGGUCUGAGAAUCGGCUAACAUCUAUUUUUCACACCCCUAAAUAAUAAGGGUGGUCCACCCCUCAAAUUUUUUUUUUCAUUUUUUCGACAAAAUUUUUUUUAUUUAUUUUUUUAUGAUACGAUAUUCAAAAAUACAUACAACCCUAAGUUUUUGCCCUUCUAUCACCAACCCCUAUUUUUUAUUAAUCAUUUUAGUAAUUUAAUUAAUUUUUAAAAUUUUCCGCGCUUUUACUCUGGAUACUCAUUGGCCAGACUAUAUCGGUGUAACUACCCAGUGAACAACGCGGAGUGGGGAUGAGACCGAAGCCGGUCUCCUGUUUCGCGGGCAAAAGCUAGAUGUUUUCAAUAAACAUUAAUGUCAAAUAUUUGUUGUCCAUCCUGUCAAAUACUGUAAAUAAUGAUUGACAUUUAUGUAUAAACUAUUUGAAAAGGGUGAAUAAACAAUUGUCUGUAUUUUUUUUAAAUCUAUUGAAAAUGUUGAAAAGUGCAUUAAGCAUUAAAAGAAAUUCCUCAAAUAUUUAUGCGUGCGUUCAGAAAUAAUGACAAAUUAUCAACAGUUACGCGUGUGUUCAGAAAUUUAUUUUGUGUAAAUUAAAGUUUCUUUUCACGUUUUCGAACAAACGAUGCUCUUUCAAUAUAGUCUAUUGGUGUGAAUGACAUUGACAUUCGUAUUGCGCGUUUUUUAAAAUAUGCAAAAUUAAAUGUAUAUUUUUCAAUAUUUCUGAAAGAUUAUUUUAAUAUUUUUUCGAGUUUUAAAGACUAAGAAGAUUUUUACUUGCUAAUAAGUGUUUGUUAAUCAAGUUGGGAUUUCGUUUUUAACAAUGCUACCAACCAGACGUACAAGCUUAGGCCGCAGAACUCGAAAUACGGCAAGUCAAAGCAAUAUAAGAGCAAAUCAAACUGAUGAGCAACGCGAAGCGCGAAAUGAACUUGAACUGAAUCGAUAUCAAGAUAGAAAUGUUGUGUUUAAUCCCCACAAAGCUGCAUUCAGUUAUAAUGUGGCAAUUGAUUACAGUUCAGAGCAAAUUGUUGCUAUUGGACUAAUGAACAUUGUGUGUCCACAUUGGGAUUGAAAUUCAAAAAUGAAGCCUCUGGAUUGUGUUACGCCAGCGGCCAAGUCAAAUUGACGCCAUUGGUACCGCCACCAGAGCCACUACAUUCAUUGGUUAAUUUUUUGACUCAUAUCUAGCAGUACAAUAAUUGCUUUCAAAUGACAUCAUUUGGGGCAACAAAAGUUAUACGAGACAAUUUUAUGCCUACUUUUAGUAAAUUCAGGGAUUCAAAUAUAUCAUCAAACAGGUUCCUUAUUGCCAGUGCCUGUUGAAGACUAUACAUUUUUGCAAAUAUAUUUUAUGGACAAUUCAGCAAGAGAAGUCGAUCAGCGUUGCGCACACAACAACUCAGUAAAAAGAUCCAUUGUGAUGAACAACUUCAAACAUUUUUCCAUCAAAUCAACACAAUGAAUUAGUUGCAUUAAUCACAAAUGCAUUAGACCGCAUGCCAUCAGAUAAUCACAAAAUUGUCAUCAGAGCCGAUAAGGCGCCUGCAGGAUAAAAUGCUGGACAUUUUAAUGUGCCAACAAUUAAUAAAGAGCGCGCGUGGUAUUUAACUCAGUGUUUACUUAAAAAUGCCAAGUUCUUCAAUAGCGAUUUGUAAAAAUAGUAUUGAAAUUAUUGAAUCCUAUGGAAUAAACACUAUUAUGAAAA